rnacentral:rRNA from 1 species
GACGAACGCUGGCGGCGUGCUUAACACAUGCAAGUCGAACGGAAAGGCCCUGCUUUUGUGGGGUGCUCGAUUGGCGAACGGGUGAGUAACACGUGAGUAACCUGCCCUUGACUUUGGGAUAACUUCAGGAAACUGGGGCUAAUACCGGAUAGGAGCUCCUGCUGCAUGGGGGGGGUUGGAAAGUUUCGGCGGUUGGGGAUGGACUCGCGGCUUAUCAGCUUGUUGGUGGGGUAGUGGCUUACCAAGGCUUUGACGGGUAGCCGGCCUGAGAGGGUGACCGGCCACAUUGGGACUGAGAUACGGCCCAGACUCCUACGGGAGGCAGCAGUGGGGAAUAUUGCACAAUGGGCGGAAGCCUGAUGCAGCAACGCCGCGUGCGGGAUGACGGCCUUCGGGUUGUAAACCGCUUUCGCCUGUGACGAAGCGUGAGUGACGGUAAUGGGUAAAGAAGCACCGGCUAACUACGUG